CAUUGGGAUUGAGAAAAAUAUAGAAAAAAGUGAAAGGGGUACAGUGAACUUGCUAUGAGGAGUGGAAUAUCCAAUGUUUCGGAUUCAAUCCUUCCUAAA